rnacentral:hammerhead_ribozyme from 1 species
ACCCAGCUGACGAGUCCUAAAUAGGACGAAGAAGUGCGCGUCCUGGAU